CAGUAGCCGCGGUAACACGUAGGGCGCAAGCGUUGUCCGGAAUUAUUGGGCGUAAAGAGCUCGUAGGCGGUCUGUCGCGUCUGGUGUGAAAUCCCGAGGCUCAACCUCGGGCUUGCAUCGGGUACGGGCAGACUAGAGUGCGGUAGGGGAGACUGGAAUUCCUGGUGUAGCGGUGGAAUGCGCAGAUAUCAGGAGGAACACCGAUGGCGAAGGCAGGUCUCUGGGCCGCAACUGACGCUGAGGAGCGAAAGCAUGGGGAGCGAACAGGAUUAGAUACCCGUGUAGUCCCUGUCUCUUAUAC
rnacentral:rRNA from 1 species